GUUUAUCUUGUGGAAACGACUCCAAUAAGGUUGACGAGAUAAUGGAUAUUAGUCUUGAUGUUUUGCAUAGUAGUUCUCUUAAAGAGGCAUUGCAGAAGUUCUUUCAACUGGAAAUUUUAGAUGGCAGUAAUAAGUACAAGUGUGACAAUUGUAAGAAGUUGGUCGUGGCUAGGAAGCAGAUGUCAAUACUCCAAGCACCAAAUAUACUUGUCAUCCAAUUGAAGAGAUUUGAAGGCAUAUUUGGUGGUAAGAUUGACAAGGCCAUUGCGUAUGAGGAGAGUUUGCAGCUUUCAAAUUUCAUGUGCAAAGGAAGUCAGGAUUUG
rnacentral:misc_RNA from 1 species